rnacentral:lncRNA from 1 species
CUUCUUGUUCCCAGCCUAAAUCCUUUCUCCUUUUCAUCUCUCCCUGAGGAUACAAACAGGAUUCUGCUGCCCCUGACCACUCUGCAAGUCCAGCAUAUUAUGAAGCAUUUCCAAAUCUUCUGUCAUCACAUAAUGAACUCUGCAGAAUACAAUCAACAGCUGUUGUGCUGCUGGCAAGGGGGACGUUGUAUGCAAGCUGCCUUUCAACUCAAAAGAAAGACCCUAAAAAAAACCCAAAAUAUUAAGAGAUUGAUUCUCCUCCCAAAGUUAAAGUAUGGCAUGAAAAGUGGAUCACUGCUUCAAAAUGGACCACCUGAUUUAAUGGCAGCUGGCCAUUAAUUCUCUGGAAAUUGUUUUCCACCUCAAAUGCUGUUCUUUAAACAAAAGUCUGC